AUUGAACGCUGGCGGCAUGCUUUACACAUGCAAGUCGAACGGUAACAAGCCGCAAGGUGCUGACGAGUGGCGAACGGGUGAGUAAUGCAUCGGAACGUGCCCAGUCGUGGGGGAUAACGCAGCGAAAGCUGCGCUAAUACCGCAUACGAUCUCUGGAUGAAAGCGGGGGACCGAAAGGCCUCGCGCGAUUGGAGCGGCCGAUGUCAGAUUAGGUAGUUGGUGGGGUAAAGGCCCACCAAGCCAACGAUCUGUAGCUGGUCUGAGAGGACGACCAGCCACACUGGGACUGGGACACGGCCCAGACUCCUACGGGAGGCAGCAGUGGGGAAUUUUGGACAAUGGGCGCAAGCCUGAUCCAGCAAUGCCGCGUGCAGGAAGAAGGCCUUCGGGUUGUAAACUGCUUUUGUACGGAACGAAACGGUCCUGGUUAAUACCUGGGGCUAAUGACGGUACCGUAAGAAUAAGCACCGGCUAACUACGUGCCAGCCGCCGCCGUAACAC
rnacentral:rRNA from 1 species